rnacentral:rRNA from 1 species
CCUACGGGAGGCAGCAGUGGGGGAUAUUGCACAAUGGGGGAAACCCUGAUGCAGCGACGCCGCGUGAGUGAAGAAGUAUUUCGGUAUGUAAAGCUCUAUCAGCAGGGAAGAAAAUGACAGUACCUGACCAAGAAGCCACGGCUAACUACGUGCCAGCAGCCGCGGGAAUACGUAGGGGGCAAGCGUUAUCCGGAUUUACUGGGUGUAAAGGGAGCGUAGACGGUUAGGUAAGUCUGGAGUGAAAGCCCGGGGCCCACCCCCGGGACUGCUCUUGGAACUGCAUGGCUGGAGUACAGGAGGGGCAGGCCGAAUUCCUAGUGUAGCGGUGAAAUGCGUAGAUAUUAGGAGGAACACCGGUGGCGAAGGCGGCCUGCUGGACUGUGACUGACGUUGAGGCCCGAAUGCGUGGGGAGCAAACAGGAUUAGAUACCCUAGUAGUC